rnacentral:rRNA from 1 species
UACGUAGGGUGCAAGCGUUGUCCGGAAUUAUUGGGCGUAAAGAGCUCGUAGGCGGUUUGUCGCGUCUGCUGUGAAAUCUGGAGGCUCAACCUCCAGCCUGCAGUGGGUACGGGCAGACUAGAGUGCGGUAGGGGAGAUUGGAACUCCUGGUGUAGCGGUGGAAUGCGCAGAUAUCAGGAAGAACACCGAUGGCGAAGGCAGAUCUCUGGGCCGUAACUGACGCUGGAGGAGCGGAAAGCAUGGGGAGCGAACAGG